rnacentral:rRNA from 1 species
UGUGGUUUAAUUCGAAGCAACGCGAAGAACCUUACCAGGCCUUGACAUGCAGAGAACUUUCCAGAGAUGGAUUGGUGCCUUCGGGAACUCUGACACAGGUGCUGCAUGGCUGUCGUCAGGCUCGUGUCGUGAGAUGUUGGGUUAAGUCCCGUAACGAGCGCAACCCUUGUCCUUAGUUACCAGCACGUUAUGGUGGGCACUCUAAGGAGACUGCCGGUGACAAACCGGAGGAAGGUGGGGAUGACGUCAAGUCAUCAUGGCCCUUACGGCCUGGGCUACACACGUGCUACAAUGGUCGGUACAAAGGGUUGCCAAGCCGCGAGGUGGAGCUAAUCCCAUAAAACCGAUCGUAGUCCGGAUCGCAGUCUGCAACUCGACUGCGUGAAGUCGGAAUCGCUAGUAAUCGUGAAUCAGAAUGUCACGGUGAAUACGUUCCCGGGCCUU